GCUAGUGGCACAAUGAGCAUUUGGGCCACAGUAGUUGAGUCCAGAGCAUUAUGGUUAGGCAAGAAUGAUGGAUUUUUUUAUACCUAGAACAUUCAGACUUUUUAUAGCCAUAAAUCAACUCAUAAAUUUAAAUUAAAAAGAUGUAUGUAUAAUCUUUAAAGAGUAAGAGAAAAGAAAACAAGAAAAAUACAUCAUCAACAAUUUUGAGAACUCAAAUAAUUAUGAAUUUUUGAGUUUAGUAACAAUUUAUAUUUAAUGGAAAUUUGAACACCAACAUGCUGUGUUUUGUUAUUAUGUUCAUAAUUUAUUUUCAGAGAACAAAACAGGGAGGAGGUAAGUGAGAAAGUUUGCCUCAGACCUGAUCUAUUUGUUUGUAUUAGAGAGUUUAUUAGGAAGAGAAUUAAGUUAGCAAGAAGCCAAAUAUCCACCAAAUGUCAAAGUGUGCUCGUCUGCGCCUCGUCCCCCUCCCCCUGCCCCCGGCAACAACAACUCUUGGCCUGGAACUUGGAAGUAAAGUUUAGCUAAAAAUCCUGUGAAGGAGAAUCUGCACUGGCCCAUUUUACAGGUGGUAUAGCCGAUGCACAGAGGGAGAGACCCUAUGGGCCAGUUUUACAGAGUGAUGCAUCCUGCCCACCCACUGAGCUACUCAGAAGCAGAGCCAGGAUCCUAACCCAAUCCACCUAAAGUUUCAGCAUGCUCUUCCCUAGUUCUGUUUCAGUCUGAGUUUUCUUAGACAGGUACCCAAGGCAUCCCAGGAAGAGCUCACCUGGGAGGACAACAGCGAGAAGUCUGAGGAUGAUGGCUUCUCUGGGUGCUUCAAUAGACUCAGUUCUGAAUGAAGAGAAGCCAGACACCAGGGCCAUUGAAGCAGUCUUCAGGAGGAAGGUGGGUAACCUCACAUAAAUGGCGGGAAGAUGCUCUAGAAAUAUCGUUACAAUCCAUUACCAACACAAUGGCAGCAACAGCCUCCUCCUCCUCCAAGUAUAGGAAAAUAAGUGGCCAUUUGAUAUUCUGGGAAAUAAAGAAUUUUUCCAGAGCAAGUGGUGGCACACGCCUUUAAUCCCAACACUUGGGAGGCAGAGGCAGGCAGAUCUCUGUGAGUUCAAGGCCAGCAUGGGCUACAGAGCGAGUUCCAGGACAGGUUCCAAAGCUACAAUGAGAAACCCUGUCUUGGAAAACCAAAGAAGAAGAAGAAGAAGAAGAAGAAGAAGAAGAAGAAGAAGAAGAAGAAGAAGAAGAAGAAGAAGAAGAAGAAGAAUUUUUUCAGAAAGUUGAGGUCUCAAUAUGAAGCUAUCUAGAUUCUGAAACAUUAAUGGUGUCUACCAAACAGCAACGGAUCUUCUGAAUAAAUAGAGAAUUUAUUACAGGUCCUUGUUAAAUAGAGCUUUGCCUUUGACUUCCCAAAGACAUUUUCCAUGAUCCUUAAAGACUGGCUUUCCUGUAAUAAUUUUUUUUUGAAGAAUUACUUUGUGUAACCAACUUAGGUGUAAAAUUUUAUUGUCAUUUUCAUCCUCUUACAAAAAAGAAAAACAAAACAUUUAUUUGUUACUGUUAUCUACCAUUGUUACUUUUGAUUUCGAUUAGACAAUUUUCUGAGGCCCAAUAUAUAGAAACUUAAAUUUCUAGACAUUAAGAAGUUAUCAACUAAACAGUGUUCAAUAACCCCAGCUUUAUUGUUUCAUGCUUGUGUAAGCUAUUUGAAAGUCCCUUAGUGACUAACAGCUCUUAUUUUGAAGAAACAUAUCCCUUCAGUUUAAAACAAUUUAAAAAUUUAUUUCUAUUUUAUGCAUAUGGGUGUUUUGUCUGCAUGUAUGUCUGUGUACCAUGUGUAUGCAAUGCCCCUGGAGGACAAGCAGAUGUUUGAAAUUGUUUCAAUUAACACUGAAAGGCCUAAGUACUUAUGGCUGAAUUAGUACACUUGACAGAAGGAGCACAGGGCAGGAAAAGGCUCAACCCUGACCAUUUUUUCCUGAGUAGCAUUUGUGGGGCACAGAGUCUUUUUGAGAAAUAGAAAUAGAAAUAAUUUGUAGAGCUUGGGCAUUUUCAUGAGGGGCCUAAAAUGAAAGGUUGAAGACCAUGGGAACCCCUCAGAGGCAGGGUAAUCUGGGGAAAGCCUUUCACCGAGGGACACUGGCUUUAACUUGUUUCCUUCCCGUGAAGCACAGGCCCGGCGUUCUGCCUGUAGGGAGAGAGUGAGCCUGGGGCUGUGCUUUGCAUGUUAUCUGUCUUCCGGGGUCCGUGUAUUACCUGGUUGGUCCUCGUGGUGGCGCUGCUGAGAAAGAGUGGGACCUCUAGGAGGUCUCAAAAGAAAAGCAAAAUAGUGGAAAUGAAGAAAUGGUUGAGGAUCUAGUAGUGUGCAGUAAGGACACAAUCCAUGUGGCGGAAAGUAAUCUGAAAUUGAAUCUUACAGAGAGAAUUAGGUCUGCGCCCAGUCUUUCUCUCAUCAAGGAAGUGAGCACUUGUGAGGGAGGAGGGAGGCAUAUGGUGGUAUUUUAUUUGUACUGAAAUGUGAUUUUAAUUGUAUGUUAAUAAAUAAAUUCCCCGGGGGUCAGAGCUAUUAGAGCCAUAGAAAGAGCG